rnacentral:siRNA from 1 species
CAUAGAUGGUUCCUAUCCAAA